rnacentral:rRNA from 1 species
GACGAACGCUGGCGGCGUGCCUAACACAUGCAAGUCGAGCGGAGAUAAGCGGAAGGUAACUGAAGUUUGUCUUAGCGGCGGACGGGUGAGUAACACGUGGGCAACCUGCCUUGGAGUGGGGGAUAACACCGGGAAAUCGGUGCUAAUACCGCAUAACAUACACAUACUGCAUGGUGAGUGUAUCAAAGGAGCAAUCCGCUUUAAGAUGGGCCCGCGGCUGAUUAGCUAGUUGGUAAGGUAACGGCUUACCAAGGCGACGAUCAGUAGCCGACCUGAGAGGGUGACCGGCCACACUGGAACUGAGACACGGUCCAGACUCCUACGGGAGGCAGCAGUGGGGAAUAUUGCGCAAUGGGGGGAACCCUGACGCAGCAACGCCGCGUGGAGGAAGAAGGUCUUCGGAUUGUAAACUCCUGUCUUCUGGGAAGAUAAUGACGGUACCAGAGGAGGAAGCCACGGCUAACUACGUG